UACGUAGGGUGCGAGCGUUAAUCGGAAUUACUGGGCGUAAAGCGUGCGCAGGCGGUUUUGUAAGCCAGAUGUGAAAUCCCCGGGCUUAACCUGGGAAUGGCAUUUGGGACUGCAAGCUCGAGUGCGGCAGAGGAGACUGGAAUUCCUGGUGUAGCAGUGAAAUGCGUAGAUAUCAGGAGGAACACCGAUGGCGAAAGCAGCUCUCUGGGACGGUACUGACGCUGAGACGCGAAAGCGUGGGGAGCGAACAGG
rnacentral:rRNA from 1 species